UACGGGGGGAGCAAGCGUUGUUCGGAUUUACUGGGCGUAAAGGGCGCGUAGGCGGUCGUGACAAGUCACUUGUGAAAUCUCCGGGCUUAACUCGGAACGGUCAAGUGAUACUGUCGGACUAGAGUACAGAAGGGGCAACUGGAAUUCUCGGUGUAGCGGUGAAAUGCGUAGAUAUCGAGAGGAACACCUGCGGCGAAAGCAGGCAUCUGGGCCAUCACUGACGCUGAGCUGCGAAAGCUAGGGGAGCAAACAGG
rnacentral:rRNA from 1 species